CGAGGGGAGGGGGAUGUAGGGUGACCAGAUGUCCUGAUUUUAUAGGGACAGUCCCGAUUUUGGGGUCUUUUUCUUAUAUAGGCUCCUAUUAUCCCCCCCCCCACACACACACACAAACACCCUGAUUUUUCACAUUUGCAGUUUGGUCACCCGAGGGGGAUGAGCCCUACUAAUAAAACGUGGGACUUCAAAAGGGGUCAUAAUUAUAAAGAUUACACGGUGCAGGGACUCGGCCCCUGUGCUUGGAAGUUGUAUUCCUUCUCCUCCCCCCCCCCCCCAGUCUUUGGGGGAGAAGAGGGGUGCUGUUUCAGAUUGUAAGGUUUUCAGCCCAGAGCCCUUCACCUCUGCUAAGAACAUUAGAACGGCCACACUGGGUCAGACCAAAGGUCCAUCGAGCCCCUCAACCUGUGGCCAAUGCCAGGUGCCCCAGAGGGAGUGAACAGAACAGCUGCAUCACCAAACAGUUGAGACCAUUACCAGGAAGAGGCACCGGAGGAACUGGCUGAUUUUGGCUGGCCAAAUGCCAGAGCAAGUGCACUUAAGCAUGCCAGAGACAUAGGGAUCAAGCUUGAGUUUGCAUGUUGAGGACUUCUACUCUAUGAGUUCAGAAAAGUUUAUCUUCUGACCCAUACAGAGAUAUCAGAACAGUGAUUCUCUUCCAACAGACAGGUGAAGAAUUAUCCUAACAUCUUCCUUGCCAACUGUACCACUCAACUGGAAUUAAUUUAGAGGGACAUCAUUUAAUGCCUUUGUAAUUAAGAAUUACUGGACUUAACAAGCCACAGCAGAAAGAGAGAUACCACAUUACCCUCUAGCAAUGGCACACUCCUUUUUACUUCUCUGACGUCUGCUAGCCCUGCCUGGCUCACAAAAAGGAUUUUGUCUCCUCUACAAUUAUACCAAUGGAGUCUUGGUUUUAAGAUACACACCUCACCAUAGCAUUUUUAGACUAGAGAAGCGAGCAAUCUCCUAAAGCUUUGUAUAAUAGCAGAGGUGGGAAAACUACGGCCCGCGGGCCACAUUUGGCCUGCAGGACCAUCCUGCCUGGCUCCUGAGCUCCCAGCUGGGGAGGCUAGCCCCCGGCCCCUCCCCUGCUGUCCCCCCUCCCCCACAGCCUUAGCAUGCUGCACCGCCGGCGCUCUGGUCAACCGCUCUUGCCAGGCAGGGGGAUGGGGAGCAUGAGGGUUGGA